rnacentral:rRNA from 1 species
UACGUAGGGUGCAGGCGUUAAUCGGAAUUACUGGGCGUAAAGCGUGCGCAGGCGGUUUGCUAAGACAGGUGUGAAAUCCCCGGGCUUAACCUGGGAACUGCGCUUGUAACUGGCAAGCUAGAGUGUGGCAGAGGGGGUGGAAUUCCACGUGUAGCAGUGAAAUGCGUAGAGAUGUGGAGGAACACCGAUGGCGAAGGCAGCCCCUGGGCUAACACCUGACGCUCAUGCACGAAAGCGUGGGGAGCAACAGG